rnacentral:tRNA from 1 species
CAAGGCGUAGCUUAACCAAAGCCUCUCGCUUACACCAA